GCCACGGUCGCAUAAUCUGGCAUUGCGGGAGGCUCGAACCCUCCUGGUCGCAAGACUGUGUAGGUUCAAAUCCUGCCCGUGGCG
rnacentral:tRNA from 1 species